UACCAGCUCUCCGAGUGGUAGGGAUGAUUAUUAGGCUUAAAGCGUCCGUAGCCGGCUUAGCAAGUCUCCUGUUAAAUUCAGCGACCUAAUCGUUGAGCCGCGGGAGAUACUACUAGGCUAGGAGGCGGGAGAGGUCGACGGUACUUCUGGGGUAGGGGUGAAAUCCUAUAAUCCCGGGAGGACCACCUGUGGCGAAGGCUGUCGACUAGAACGCGCUCGACGGUGAGGGACGAAAGCUGGGGGAGCGAACCGGAUUAGAUACCCGGGUAGUCCCAGCUGUAAACGAUGCGGGCUAGGUGUUGGGGUGGCUACGUGCCACUUCAGUGCCGCAGGGAAGCCAUUAAGCCCGCCGCCUGGGGAGUACGGCCGCAAGGCUGAAACUUAAAGGAAUUGGCGGGGGAGCACCACAAGGCGUGAAGCUUGCGGUUC
rnacentral:rRNA from 1 species